UACGUAGGGCGCAAGCGUUGUCCGGAAUUAUUGGGCGUAAAGAGCUCGUAGGCGGUUUGGCAAGUCGGGUGUGAAAACUCCGGGCUCAACUCGGAGACGCCACUCGAUACUGCUAUGACUCGAGUCCGGUAGGGGAGUGCGGAAUUCCUGGUGUAGCGGUGAAAUGCGCAGAUAUCAGGAGGAACACCGGUGGCGAAGGCGGCACUCUGGGCCGGAACUGACGCUGAGGAGCGAAAGCGUGGGGAGCGAACAGG
rnacentral:rRNA from 1 species